rnacentral:rRNA from 1 species
GACGAACGCUGGCGGCGUGCCUAAUACAUGCAAGUCGAGCGGGCCUCCGGAGGUGCUUGCACCUCCGGAGGGCCAGCGGCGGACGGGUGAGUAACACGUGGGCAACCUGCCUUUGAGGCCGGGAUAACACCGGGAAACCGGUGCUAAUACCGGAUGCGUCCUCUUUCGUGCCUGCGAGAGGGGAGAAAGACGGUCUUCGGGCCGUCGCUCAAAGAGGGGCCCGCGGCGCAUUAGCUGGUUGGUGGGGUAAGGGCCUACCAAGGCGACGAUGCGUUGCCGACCUGAGAGGGUGAUCGGCCACACUGGGACUGAGACACGGCCCAGACUCCUGCGGGAGGCAGCAGUAGGGAAUCAUCCGCAAUGGACGAAAGCCUGACGGUGCAACGCCGCGUGAGUGAGGAAGGUUUUCGGAUCGUAAAGCUCUGUUGUGAGGGAAGAACAGCUUCCGGAGGAAAUGCCGGAGGUUUGCCGGUACCUCACCAGAAAGCCCCGGCUAACUACGUGCCAGCCGCCGCCGUAA